rnacentral:rRNA from 1 species
CAAUAGCGUAUAUUUAAGCUGUUGCAGUUAAAAAGCUCGUAGUUGGAUUUCGGAUGGGAUUUGCCGGUCCGUCGUUACGAUGUGCACUGGCCAGUCCUAUCUUGUUGUCGGGGACUAGCUCCUUGGAUUCACUUCCUGGGACUAGGAGCUGACGAGGUUACUUUGAGUAAAUUAGAGUGUUCAAAGCAAGCCUACGCUCUGAAUACAUUAGCAUGGAAUAACACGAUAGGACUCUGGCUUAUCUUGUUGGUCUGUGAGACCAGAGUAAUGAUUAAGAGGGACAGUCGGGGACAUUCGUAUUUCAUUGUCAGAGGUGAAAUUCUUGGAUUUAUGAAAGACGAACUUCUGCGAAAGCAUUUGUCAAGGAUGUUUUCAUUAA